AAAGACUUAGUAUAAAAAAGUAUUAAAAUUUUACACCAAAGGAAACGCUAAAAAAGGGAUCCAAUUUAAAUAAGAACAAUAUGAGUUUCUUAUAAGAACAAAAUGAGUUUCUAAAGUUCAAUUAAUAGUAAUUAGAAUCUACUUAUAGUAUUCAUCUUAUAUUACAUGACGCUCUCCAUAUCAACUUUUUGUCUUGCUCAGUGUGGAGCCACUGCGGGCAGUAGCGUCAUAUGCUUCAUCCUUCUCAAUAUGUAUAUACAGAACUUCAACUGGUUAGACAACAGGAGACCAGGCUGCAAAAUCUUAGAGUAGCAUUAGGCGUUAGCCAUAGAUACUUUCUGUCAAGGUCAUCUUGUAUAAAUAUGUGCACUGUAUCUUAAUAGAACAGUCAUAAUAUGCAUGCAUUCAGUAAGAUUAGGUGAUGCAGAAGCAACGUUAUAUUUAUUAAUCGAAUUAUAUUUGCAAACUACGACUUGAAAGCCACCGGCCAACCCAAUAUCCUUGAUUCAAAGAAAGGAAACAAUCGUGACAUAUUUUUUUUUUCAAAGUAAAGAACCAAUGAGUGAUCGGCAUCUGCUCUACGUGCUUCCACUGCGUUACGAGAAGUAAUAUAUUGUCUGUCGUUAGAUUACUCAUCAGAUAAAACCUUGCAACCUCUAGAAUAUGGUAAAAAAGUUCGAGGAUUUUAAAUUUUAACUGGCUAGUUUCCCCUGACAUGACAAAAGUGUGCAGCCAAGGCCCGUUCAAACCAUUCCGGUGUUGGUAAUGUUGGAUGAAAAACUUAAAGUCAAACCAGAUUCAACAUCCCCCAACAUUACCAAACAUAAUAUUGAAACUGAUCCAACAAUGUUGCAUCCAUCCACUAGUUGUCCUACAUCCAACAAUGUAGGAGGAUGUUGGGCGGGUUUCAACGGAUUUUCAGUAUCAUGAUUUGAGUAAAGUUUGAGAGAUCAAAAUAAAAGGUGAAGUGGACAAACAUCCAAAUACCGAGUAUGAUAAAAUAUGAAAGCUUAGGAUUGAUAGGGAUACAGCUACCUGAGCUAAUACAAGGAGAAUUCCUAAUAAUUUCCUAUAAUGCUUGUGAUGUUACUCUGAGUGUAUAUCCACACCGGGCAAGAUAACGUUGAUAUCGAAGGAAGUAGAUUCUGUUCCGAAAUAUAACAUACUCGAACCGACCAGACCACGUAGCUCAGUUGGCAGAGCAAUGGGCUAGUAUUCCAAAGGUCGUAGGUUCGAUUCCCACCGUGGUCAGGCAUAUUUUUCAAGCUUGCCUGGUGUAGAUAUACACUCAGAGUAACAUCACAAGCAUCAUAUUCACCUGAGUACAUUACACCAACACAUUUAUUAUUGACACUACCUACACUGGCACUGCAGACCGUUCAUGAUAAAAUGUAUACUCGUUGCCAUUCGAUCUAUAUUGCCUUGUUUUAAAUCAUAUUUUGUCGUUCCUCUGUAGGAGUUACUGAAGAAUGGAAAAUCUGGAUAAAUAUGAGAUCUUCAUCGCGAGUAAGGUAUCACAGCUUAAGUAUUAAUAGUAUAUGAGGAAACUUUCACCUUGACUCACUACUGCAUGUUUCCCGACCUUUGUGGUCUCACUGGUGCGUACGUAGAACUGGAAGCGGUCUGGAUUUGAGUGCGAGGUCUGAAGAUAAGAUCUUACUUCGCGAGCGUAAAAUCAAACGAAAAGUAUCAAUUAAUUAUUGAUGUUCGCAAUUUAUGUACUUCGAAUUCUACUUUAUCGGUGAUCUUUUUGAAAUAUGCGAAGGCCAUUCGUCAUUACUAGCUGAUGAAAAUGUGUCGCUUGGAAAUUUACUAUCCUUCAGAUAUACUAAGCAUGUUGUAAGGAAGAAACUUGAUAAACCUGUGCCUAUCUUUGCCAACACUUUUUCACCAAAGAUUUUUCCACCAUAUUCGAGCUAUAUUUUGGAGCGGUCGAGUACCACAGUCAAAUAUAUUACAGCUUGUGGCUGAAAUGUAAGCCGCGCCAGAGAUGAUGUUUGUUCAGCGGCGUGUGUACAAAGAG
rnacentral:lncRNA from 1 species